GGAGCAGCAGGGAGAUGUGCUCUCAGACCUCCACCAGCAGCUCCAAAUCCACAAAACACUUGGGCAGCAGGAGCAAGCUGCUCUCUGAAGGAUGAGAGAACCAAGACAGACCCAAACUGGAGACUGAUGGAAUUUGUUUUCUUGCCUGAUUUUCUUCUGGAUCAUCCUGCCAUUCCUCUUCACAUCCAACUCUACUGCCCUUUGUGAUACCCAUCCCUAAGCUCUCAGGACGUGAAUUUUCACAGGCACCUCUCCUGACUCUGCCCUUCCACAGCCCAUCAGCAAUUUAAGGUGCUGAUUUUGCAGAUCCCAGAGGCAAUACUGGCCAAAAUGGAGAGCAGACUGGAGAAAACCAAGAGGCACAUCCCUAAUGGGAAGAGAGCCCUUAACAUCACCUGCCAGUUAAUCCCUUUGCUGCUGGUGGCUGCCCCUUUCCCAUCCUGGCAGCAGCUGGGAGCACAGGGAUGGAUGGCUGUGGAAAUGUGCAACGUGAGCUCGGGGUUUGCUCUGUGAAGUGAUGACAGAGUGAGAAGGAAAACACAG
rnacentral:lncRNA from 1 species